rnacentral:rRNA from 1 species
AAAGGAAUUGACGGGGGCUCACACAAGCGGUGGAGCAUGUUGCUUAAUUCGAAGCGACGCGAAGAACCUUAUCCUGGACUUGACAUACAUGGAUUAGUCUAGUGAAAGCUAGAUGACACCUUCGGGUGGAACAUGAACAGGUGCUGCAUGGCUGUCGUCAGCUCGUGCUGUGAAGUGUCGGGUUAAGUCCCUCAACGAGCGCAACCCCUGUCGUUAGUUGCCAGCGAGUCAUGUCGGGGACUCUAACGAGACUGCCGGUGUCAAACCGGAGGAAGGUGGGGAUGACGUCAAGUCCUCAUGGCCUUUAUGUCCAGGGCUGCAAACGUGCUACAAUGGCGUAUACAAAGCGAUGCGAGGCCGCGAGGCGGAGCAAAUCGCAAAAAGUACGCCCCAGUUCAGAUUGCAGUCUGCAACUCGACUGCAUGAAGUCGGAAUCGCUAGUAAUCGCGGAUCAGCUACGCCGCGGUGAAUACGUUCCUGAGCCUUGUACACACCGCCCGU